rnacentral:rRNA from 1 species
AUUGAACGCUGGCGGCAGGCCUAACACAUGCAAGUCGAGCGGAUGAAGGGAGCUUGCUCCUGGAUUCAGCGGCGGACGGGUGAGUAAUGCCUAGGAAUCUGCCUGGUAGUGGGGGAUAACGUCCGGAAACGGGCGCUAAUACCGCAUACGUCCUGAGGGAGAAAGUGGGGGAUCUUCGGACCUCACGCUAUCAGAUGAGCCUAGGUCGGAUUAGCUAGUUGGUGGGGUAAAGGCCUACCAAGGCGACGAUCCGUAACUGGUCUGAGAGGAUGAUCAGUCACACUGGAACUGAGACACGGUCCAGACUCCUACGGGAGGCAGCAGUGGGGAAUGUUGGACAAUGGGCGAAAGCCUGAUCCAGCCAUGCCGCGUGUGUGAAGAAGGUCUUCGGAUUGUAAAGCACUUUAAGUUGGGAGGAAGGGCAGUAAGUUAAUACCUUGCUGUUUUGACGUUACCAACAGAGUAAGCACCGGCUAACUUCGUG